ensembl:lncRNA novel transcript
GGAGGGGAAGAAAAGCUUCCGUAAGGAAGUGAUGAGAUCAGCAGGGAGAGCAAGAGUCAAUGAGGCAAAGAGAUUGGGGUUGAGGGGCUGCGUGUUCCUGGAGGAUGGGAACUGUGUCUUAUCAUUCUGCUGGGGACUCAUAUGAGAAGAGGAGGUUGAGAUCUCUGCAGCAGACAUUCCCAAACCUGGUGGAGCAUCAGAACCAGGGUCUGCCUUCCUAACAGGCUGUAGGUUCCUCAAGGGUUGGGACUGUGCCUGUGUUCUGGGCACCUGCCCAUGCCUGGCAAUUUGAAGAAGCUCAAUUGCUACAUGUUGAAGGAAUGAAUAAUUGCAUGAGCAACCAUCGAUAAUUGCAUGCUACAACCAUCAAACUUGCAGGGUUCUUCCAUGGAAUAAGUGAGCUUCAGCACCACAGAAGAGACCAGAGUCUACCUUGCCAGCUCCUCUAGCACCGACCACGUGCCAAUUCAUGUCCUGAAUGCUCACUUCACUUCUUCACCUUGCUUCACUUCACUUACUGCACGGGAACAGAAAAGCCUAGAGAGGAUGGAUUACCUGUGCGGUUGCCUCCCUCUGCAGAGUGGGCGUGUCUCAGGAGCUUCUCUUCUUCUCCAGCCCAGUGCGGCCUCGUGUCAUCCAUAGGACCCACCGGCAGAGGGCAGGGCCUGCGAGUGGGGCCAGCCUCCUGGUGACUCUCGCCUCCUCUUUUCCAGCGGACGCUACCAGAGGACGAAGGUCUGACUCUGGCCAACGGCCCAGAAUUUCUGGCCCAGUUUUGCCUGAGGAAGCCAACUGUGCAGGAGGUCAGGAUCCCGGUAGGGUGAGAGUGGGAAAGUUAACAUUCCCAAGAGACUCCAAGCAACAGGAUUUCCUGACCUGGGACUAUUACCUUUCUCACAUUACAUGGCCAGAUUUACUUCCUGCUAUUAUUAAAAGUACGAAAAAGAUGAAGAUAUGUGUUUAAUGGAAACAAGGGCAAGAGUUUGCCUGACUGGACUUUGAGGAGGCUGUAGGAUCAUGGCGCUAACGGCAUUUGGAGGGCUGGGAAGGGACUCUAGCCCUGGCUUUACCUGCCUUUGUCAUCAGCUGGAGCAAGCAACUCCGCAACCUCGGAGCCUCAGUUUCCUUUUCUGUAAAAGGCGGGGAGGGUGGGUGGUAAGUGCAAUGCUGAAUCAGAACUCAUAGAGCUGCUGGGUGGACAUGUGAAGUAAAAGAGGAGACAGCUUUUGCUCCUGAAGGAUGCCA